rnacentral:rRNA from 1 species
GAUGAACGCUGGCGGCGUGCCUAAUACAUGCAAGUCGAACGAGGUGCUUGAGUAGCAAUACGAGAGUAUCCUAGUGGCGAACGGGUGAGUAACGCGUUGGUGACCUACCCCAAAGUGUGGGAUAACAGUUCGAAAGGACUGCUAAUACCGCAUGUGGUUAUUGGAUUUAGAAACUGAUAACUAAAGGAGCAAUUCGCUUUGGGAGGGACCUGCGUCCCAUCAGCUAGUUGGUGAGGUAAUGGCUCACCAAGGCUACGACGGGUAGGGGACCUGAGAGGUUGACACCCCACAAUGGAACUGACACACGGUCCAUACACCUACGGGUGGCAGCAGUAGCGAAUAUUGCACAAUGGGCGGAACCCUGAUGCAGCAACGCCGCGUGUGCGAUGAAGGCCUUCGGGUCGUAAAGCACUUUUCUGAGGGAUGAGCAAGGACAGUACCUCAGGAAUAAGUCUCGGCUAACUACGUGCCAGCCGCCGCCGUAAAAC